rnacentral:rRNA from 1 species
CCUACGGGAGGCUGCAGUGGGGAAUAUUGGACAAUGGGGGCAACCCUGAUCCAGCCAUGCCGCGUGUGUGAAGAAGGCCCUCGGGUUGUAAAGCACUUUCAGUGAGGAAGAACGCCUGGUGGUUAAUACCCAUCAGGAAAGACAUCACUCACAGAAGAAGCACCGGCUAACUCCGUGCCAGCAGCCGCGGUAAUACGGAGGGUGCGAGCGUUAAUCGGAAUUACUGGGCGUAAAGCGCGCGUAGGUGGCUUGAUAAGCCGGUUGUGAAAGCCCCGGGCUCAACCUGGGAACGGCAUCCGGAACUGUCAAGCUAGAGUGAAGGAGAGGAAGGUAGAAUUCCCGGUGUAGCGGUGAAAUGCGUAGAGAUCGGGAGGAAUACCAGUGGCGAAGGCGGCCUUCUGGACUGACACUGACACUGAGGUGCGAAAGCGUGGGUAGCAAACAGGAUUAGAUACCCCAGUAGUC